CAGAAGCCUACCAACUCAAUACAAUUUCCUACCAACACUCAUUCCUUACAGUUGCGCUUUUCUGGGUUGCUGUAGUUCAAUUUAGAAAAUGACGUUUGGUUGACAUAAUUCAGUGUUUUUUUUAAUAAUUUCCUUUGUGUCUUUUCCGAGGUGGUAUUCAUGUUCGGGUUGCUAAAUGUUUACAAAUGGAGCCCACCCUUGGCGUCACAACUGUCGGGUGUGGCACAGGUAGCUAACAAAAGCUAACAGGUAGCAUCAGGUAGGUAGCCAAAGAGCCGCCAACCAGCUAGCCGUCCUCCUGUUGUUGGUCCUUGGGCACCUUGGAAAUCUUGAGUCGGGCGGCAAAAUAUUCCGAGUUACGUGCAGCUUGUUUGUUUAGUCGCUGGGAGGAAGGGAGAGGAAAGAAACUCAAGGGGCUAUAAUUAUCCUCAAGAGCCAUUUUUUUUUCCUAUCGUCUUCCUCUUUCAAUUUUCAUUCGAGACGGGGGACAACCAAGUCGGCAAGCAACAUGGAGGAGCUCCACGACUGAGGACGACAAAAAAAUCUAAACCCCAUAAAUAAGGAAACUACGAAUUAAUUGACGGACGAUUGAAGAAGACUACACUCAUUCAUCCAACUCAAGUAUCUACUUAAUAUUUAUGUUCGGCUUCCACCCACACGCUUCGUGUUGAAGUUUGAGCGACAAUGGGUGAUGUGGACCUGGAGCAGCGGGAUCCGUUUCCCGUGGAGCGAGAAGAUGAGAAACCGGGCGAAGAAGACCUUCCAGACGGGAGGGUGAAAUUGGGAUGCUGCGAGAAGUUCCAGCAGAGCAUCUCCAGGUGGAUGCUCCCGGCAGACGCCCGCAGCACCUACCUGCAGCGGGCCAACUGCUGCCCGCCACCUAUUUUCAUUAUCGUCAUCAGUGUUGUCGAGCUUUCCAUGUUCAUCUACUACGCUGUGUGGAAGCCUCAGAAGCAGUGGGUGACGCUUGAGGAGGGCAUCUGGAACAGUCGCCUGACGUACCGACCCGAGUACAGGCAGGAAGCGUGGCGCUUUCUCUCCUACAUGUUUGUCCAUGCCGGCGUGGAGCACAUCUUGGGGAACCUGUUCAUGCAGCUGCUGCUGGGCAUCCCAUUGGAGCUGGUCCACAAAGGCUUUGAAGUAGGAAUGAUUUACCUGGCGGGAGUCUUGGCAGGCUCACUGGCCAGCUCCAUCUUUGAUCCCAUGAGUGCCCUGGUGGGAGCUUCCGGGGGGGUCUAUGCCCUCAUUGGGGGCUACUUUAUGAACGCUGUGGUGAAUUUCCGAGAGAUGAUCCCUCUGCUCGGGGUGUUUCGCAUCCUUGUCAUCGUGAUCAUCUUGGGCGUGGACUUUGGCUUCGCAUUCUACAGACGAUUUCCCGGCGACGAGGGCGGCAUGAAGGUGUCGUUCGUGGCUCAUUUCGGGGGGAUUGUGGCCGGCAUGACGGUGGGCUACGUAUUCUUUAGCGACUACAACAAGAAGCUGCUGAAGGACCCUCGCUUCUGGAUGUGUAUCGUGGGCUACCUGGUUUUCUUCCUCUUCGCCGUGGUCUUCAACAUCUUCAUCUCGCCUGUAUCCACCUAGCAUAACAGCUCACUAUUUGUUAGUUUUAGUGCCUUAAGGUUUUAUUACAACUUUAGUCGGGGGAGAAGAGCAAAGGCCCCGUGACCCACAGAGAUUGAAGUCAUCGCCAGUCCAUUCCGCCGCAAGCUUUAGGAUUCCAGCAAACCAGAGGGUGGUGAAUCUUCCCAGAAGUUGUCAGCUGACAAAGAUGAACCCCAAGAGAACAGCAGUGACUCAUCCCGGAAGCCACGAAGGAACUCGGACAACUUCUAAAGAACUGCAGGCCUCCCUUGCCUCAGUUAAGGACCUGGACAACUUGCUGUGAUUAAUGGAUCCCUAAAUUUUGCUCUCGGUGCCAGCAUACACCACAGUGAUCACAAUCUUUUUGUUUGUAAAAAAACAACGUCAAUCAUUUUCCCAUAACAUGACACAGAAACCAAUGAACGCUUCAUUCUGUACUUUUAUGGACAUCUCUCAUUUUCACAGAGGACUAUUGAUUGUAAAAUUUCAACUAGCCCUACAGUUUAAUCGAAAUGAAUCAUUUUUACAUCACCAGAUGUGCAACUAAAAUUACUAAACUUGCACCAAUUCUUCCUUUUUAUUGAAAGUCAUUUUCACAUAAUAAUGACAAUCUGUAUUUACCCCCAUCACUCUGUAGCUGAAUGAAAAUUUCACAUAAUCUACUGUAAUAAUAAACUUGCUACUACAUUACAUAGUUAAAUGAGGGGAGGAAUUUUAUCUUCACAUAAUCCAGCAAGUAAAACUGCAUUCCACCCCUUACUUAGUUUUAUGAAAGUGAUUUGUUUUCCCCACAUGAAAAAAAGUCAACCAAUACGUGAGUAGCAUGUGCAAAACAUUUUAAUCAUUCAGAUACUCAGAAAUGUGAAGAAACUGAAUCUCUACCUUUGUCAAAUCUAACAACAAAAUGUACAAGACUUACUGAAUAGUAAUACAAGGAUUGUGAUCAUAUAUUAAAAUGGCUCUUUAUCUGCAGUGUUCUGCUUUGUAAUUGACAACCAGUAACAGUUUAAAGUUAAAAAAAAAGUUUAAAGCUGUAAUAUUGAUGUGAAUGUGACCUGAACAUACACCGAAGCAUGUCAACAGACCUCUGCAAUUAUGAUCAUCAAACUACAAGUCGUGAUGUUUGUCUGUCAAAAAUAGAAAUCAGUCAAAAAAAAAAAAAAAGAA